AGAGUUUGAUCCUGGCUCAGGACGAACGCUGGCGGCGUGCUUAACACAUGCAAGUCGAACGGUAAGGCCCUUCGGGGUACACGAGUGGCGAACGGGUGAGUAACACGUGGGUGAUCUGCCCUGCACUUUGGGAUAAGCCUGGGAAACUGGGUCUAAUACCGAAUAGGACCACGGGAUGCAUGUCCUGUGGUGGAAAGCUUUUGCGGUGUGGGAUGGGCCCGCGGCCUAUCAGCUUGUUGGUGGGGUGAUGGCCUACCAAGGCGACGACGGGUAGCCGGCCUGAGAGGGUGACCGGCCACACUGGGACUGAGAUACGGCCCAGACUCCUACGGGAGGCAGCAGUGGGGAAUAUUGCACAAUGGGCGCAAGCCUGAUGCAGUGACGCCGCGUGAGGGAUGACGGCCUUCGGGUUGUAAACCUCUUUCACCAGGGACGAAGCGCAAGUGACGGUACCUGGAGAAGAAGCACCGGCCAACUACGUGCCAGCAGCCGCGGUAAUACGUAGGGUGCGAGCGUUGUCCGGAAUUACUGGGCGUAAAGAGCUCGUAGGUGGUUUGUCGCGUUGUUCGUGAAAACUCACAGCUUAACUGUGGGCGUGCGGGCGAUACGGGCAGACUAGAGUACUGCAGGGGAGACUGGAAUUCCUGGUGUAGCGGUGGAAUGCGCAGAUAUCAGGAGGAACACCGGUGGCGAAGGCGGGUCUCUGGGCAGUAACUGACGCUGAGGAGCGAAAGCGUGGGGAGCGAACAAGAUUAGAUACCCUGGUAGUCCACGCCGUAAACGGUGGGUGCUAGGUGUGGGUUCCUUCCUUGGGAUCCGUGCCGUAGCUAACGCAUUAAGUACCCCGCCUGGGGAGUACGGCCGCAAGGCUAAAACUCAAAGGAAUUGACGGGGGCCCGCACAAGCGGCGGAGCAUGUGGAUUAAUUCGAUGCAACGCGAAGAACCUUACCUGGGUUUGACAUGCACAGGACGCCGGCAGAGAUGUCGGUUCCCUUGUGGCCUGUGUGCAGGUGGUGCAUGGCUGUCGUCAGCUCGUGUCGUGAGAUGUUGGGUUAAGUCCCGCAACGAGCGCAACCCUUGUCCUAUGUUGCCAGCGGGUUAUGCCGGGGACUCGUAGGAGACUGCCGGGGUCAACUCGGAGGAAGGUGGGGAGGACGUCAAGUCAUCAUGCCCCUUAUGUCCAGGGCUUCACACAUGCUACAAUGGCCGGUACAAAGGGCUGCGAUGCCGUGAGGUGGAGCGAAUCCUUUCAAAGCCGGUCUCAGUUCGGAUCGGGGUGUGCAACUCGACCCCGCGAAGUCGGAGUCGCUAGUAAUCGCAGAUCAGCAACGCUGCGGUGAAUACGUUCCCGGGCCUUGCACUCACCGCCCGUCAA
rnacentral:rRNA from 1 species